UACGAAGGGGGGCUAGCGUUGCUCGGAAUGACUGGGCGUAAAGGGCGCGUAGGCGGUUUGUACAGUCAGAUGUGAAAUUCCCGGGCUCAACCUGGGGGCUGCAUUUGAUACGUAUGGACUUGAGUGGGGAAGAGGGUCGUGGAAUUCCCAGUGUAGAGGUGAAAUUCGUAGAUAUUGGGAAGAACACCGGUGGCGAAGGCGGCUGCCUGGACCGAUAUUGACGCUGAGGCGCGAAAGCGUGGGGAGCAAACAGG
rnacentral:rRNA from 1 species